GUAUAUAAUUUAUCUGUACGGCUACUUAUUAUCGAAUUAUUUCAGAUAUAACUUCACCUAACACAGAAAAAGUUGCAAUACAGGAAAAAGAAGGGGGAAAUAAAAAACGGAAACGUUCUACAUCACCUUAUGGAAAUACAAAAAGAUUGCGUUGGACUGAACAU